AGAGUUUGAUCUUGGCUCAGAACGAACGCUGGCGGCGUGCCUAACACAUGCAAGUCGAACGGAUUUGAGAAGCUUGCUUCUCAAGUUAGUGGCGCACGGGUGAGUAUCGCGUGGGUAAUCUACCCUUGAAUUCAGGAUAACAUUUCGAAAGGGGUGCUAAUACUGGAUAACAUCCUGAUGGUUUCGGCCAUAAGGAUCAAAGAUAGCCUCUACAUGUAAGCUAUAGUUCAGGGAUGAGCCCGCGUACCAUUAGCUAGCUGGUGGGGUAAGAGCCUACCAAGGCAACGAUGGUUAGCUGGUCUGAGAGGAUGAUCAGCCACACUGGAACUGAAACACGGUCCAGACUCCUACGGGAGGCAGCAGUGAGGAAUUUUGCGCAAUGGGGGAAACCCUGACGCAGCAACGCCGCGUGAGUGAAGAAGGCUUUCGGGUCGUAAAGCUCUGUCAAGAGGGAAGAAAGUGGGAGAUGGUAAUACUGUUUUCUAUUGACGGUACCUCUGAAGGAAGCACCGGCUAACUCCGUGCCAGCAGCC
rnacentral:rRNA from 1 species